CCAAAUAAUAAAUGGAUAAACAAAUGAAUGGACAGAAUCCUUGCAAAUACACAUUCAUAACAAUUAGUCCGCUAAUAAUUUAGAACUAUGCUGCUUAAACUCUUUGAAAGUGCCACCGAAUGCGUGCCUGAUUCUCCAAAAAAAGUUUGUUUUUGGAGAAUUUGACAUGGGUGCGGCAGUAUUUUGAAGAGCCCGCGCAACAUAGCUUUAGACAAUUCAAGAAAUGCCCAGAAACACAAGCAAAUAAUGAAUUCAGGAAUAAAUGAGAAAGCCAAUAAAGAUCUAAGCUUUAGCCUACCUUUAGGCUAUUGAGUCCAUCACCUUGUCAAAAAUAGCUGAAAUCCACCAAACACCCAAAAAAAGCAAAGAACUCUCAAGUGAUUCCUUUAGAAGAUGAAAGAGCAAUUACCAAGAAAUUCAUCAAUGAUUUAUACUAUAUCUAAAACCAAGAAUCUCCAACCUUUUUCCAAGAAUGGUGGGGAUCUUCCUAUAUACAUACAAGAUUUUGAAAAGGGGUUUGAAAAAAAGUGAAAAAAGAUUCAACCUUUAUUUAAGGACAAGCCAAGAAAAAAUGAAAUGGAAAAAUUCAAAUGCACUGAAUCAAGAAACCCCUUUUAUUUUAUUAAUUAUUAAUAGGAAAGCAGCAGCAGUAGUAGUAUUCAAGAAAAAUAACAUAAAGCCAAUUUCUUUUCCAAAUGGCAAUGAUGGUGAAAGGGAUCUUUAGGUUAAUUGAAGGGACAAAUAUGAGUUCUUCAUUGAAGCUUUAAUGGCAGACAAAGCAUGCUUUCUUCUUCAUUUUUUGGUUAUAUAUAUGAUGAUGAGGAGUUAGAAGUUUUGCUCAACACUAAUAUAGUUUGUUAUAUUUUCUCUCACUAUAAUCUUGAUUCUUUUUUAACUCUUAUCUCAGAAAGUCCUAAUCACGUUUGGCUUCUCUUCUCUAUCUAAAAGUUAGCCUCUUUUUGAGUGCUUGAAAAAGUUUUUAUAACUGUGAACUUUUUCU
rnacentral:lncRNA from 1 species